rnacentral:lncRNA from 10 species
UGUUUCGAUAGUUUUAUUGGAACACGAUGGUAACACAAACAUGGAUUUGGGGUCCCACCACAGAUGUUCCUCCUCCAGGCAGCAUGCACCCCACUUCUGCAGCCAGCAGAGGCUCCAGGAGAGACAGACAACGUUCAAGGAAUCACGCAAACAGCCAUGCCAGUGCCUUCCAAGGAGAGCUCUGAGGGGUGUGGCAGGGGGCCUGGUUUGGUGUGGAGGGUCAAGGAAGACUUCCUCAAGGAAGUGACAUUUCAGGGCACUAAAAUGAGCAGGAGGAGCCUUUCCUCACGGAAACAGCUUUGAGCAUGGAAUGGGCAGAGUGAGUUAAUCAAACUAAAAGGAAAAGAACAGCAGGGCCAGAGUGAAGUGACGGAGGAGGCCUGGCGCAGGGGGAGGCUGGAGAGGGCCCAGCAGGGUCCCAGCACACAGGGCCUGAGGGCUGGGCUGAAGAUGGUUUUAUCUACCUGUGUGGCAUGACCUGGGUUGCAUCUGGCAUGGCCCACUCUGGCUGUCAGGUAGGGGGUGGACUGGGUGGGGGCGAGAGUGCUGAGAAGAGGUGUUCCAACUGUCCUGAUGGAGACAAUGGUGGUCGGAUGGAGUGACACAGAGUAGAUGGGGAGAAGCCAGCAGACAGUGGAGCCAGGGCUCCAUGAGGACUGAGGCAAACGGAGGUGGCAAGGUGGACCCUCAGCCUGUGAAGCCCGGGCAGGCUUUGGUCUGAGAAAGGGACCUGGGGAGCAGAGCAGGUGCAGGGAGAAGGCAGGCACGCAGCUGCAGGCACGCAGCUGCAGACACGCUGAGGGAGAGCGCCUCUGAAACUCCCAGGUGGAGGUGUUGCGGAGGCGGCAGUGGGUCUCAAGCUCCCGGAAGGAGCCAAGCCUGCAGUUAUAAAUCUGUGAGUGAUUUCAUAACCAAACCUCGUGCCUUGUAACUGGAGUUGUGGGUGCAGACGAGGUCACAGGAGGAGAGAUGCUGAGUGAGAAGAGAGGACUCUGGACUGAGACUGAGGAACAGCCACAUCUGAUGGCAGGUAGAGGACAAUGAGUUGCAAAAGGGACAGAAAAGGGAGGUCGGGGAUGUCAGGGAGGGGGAAGAUCAUGAAGCAUCUUGGAAACCAAGGAAGAUUGAGUGUCAGGGGCCAGCCAGGAGAUGCCACUGAGAAGCCCUGGGGGUAGAAGUCCCUCCACAGCCCCCUCUCUCUGGGGCUGGCACUACCCUAUCUCUUUGAGUCUCUUUAUGGAUCCUGUAAAUAGGAACAGGGGGCCUACCCUCUUGGACAGGGGAAUCAAAAGCUGCUUAGAGUGGUCAGGAGACGUGCCCAAGGUCAUACGGCCACCAGAGAGUGCUGGGGGCCAACUCCCCCAUUCACAACCAUUACAGUCCCUCAAGAUCCAUCCCUCCCUCCAUGAUGCCUGGCUGCAGACACUCUCUCCAGCAAGUCCACCGCAUACCACUUCUUGAUGACAAGCACCAGAGAGGGUCAUACUGUAGCAGGAAGGGACCCCCAGAGCCUGGGGGUCUAAGCCUUGCUAGGAGGAAGGUGGCUGAGUCAAGGAAAUAUUUGCCUUCUCUCCUGAGAGGUGGUGUAGUGCAGUGUCAGUAGUGUGGGCUUGAGGCCUGGCUUUUCACCCGUUCUCUCAUUCAUUCACCCAUUCAACACAUAUUUUUGUGUGCCUCCUAUGUGCUAGGCACACUUUCUAGGUGCUGAGUGGCCUUGGGCAGGUCCCUUACUUCUCUGAGCCUCAGUUUCCAUCUCUGUAAAGUCGGGGUGUGAUUCUUGCUCUAAACUCAUGUUGCUAUAAGGGUUACGAGAGCUCAUGCCAGGGAAGCACCUGGUACACAGUAGGUGCUCAUGAAAAGCUAUUUCCUUCCUUUCUCUGUCUUUUCCUUUCCUUUCCUUCAUCCUGCAGAACCCAUGAGGGAGUGAGAGGCCAAUGCUUUCUUCAAUACCCUCUGCCUUGCUCAGAGGUCAUGCACGUCCCUACACGUAUGCACCCAUGCACACACAUGUGCACGCAUCCCCGUCUGUCCCACCGUCUCUGCUCAUGACUCCCAGGGCCAGCACCAACGUGAGCUUUGAACCCAUGGGAUUCAGCCCACUCGGGCCCAGAGGAGUCUUGCGUGCCUGUCUGGGAAUGCUGAGCACAGAAUAGGCUGUUCCGCCCUAGGCCUGAGGACCCCACACCCAGCUGUGUGUUCUGGGAGCCCCCAGAUUCAGUCCAGGGUGAGUCCUUGGUGGCUUUGGAGACUGGGUCCUUAGGAGCUCCAGGAGUCACAUCUUGGGGACCGGGAGCGGUAUCUUCAGUGUCCUGGGGCUAGGUCUAGACAGCCUCAGAGGGCAGCGUCCUCACCGCUUUCUGGGGAGGUCUCUUCUGUGGCUCCUCAGACAGUGGCUCCCCCGAUAGCUCCUCCGAGGGGCCUCCCAUGUGUCUCUGAAGGAACCUGAGCCCCCACAGGCUCUUGCAGCAGCUCAGGAGGUUGCUGGAGCACGUAGUGCAGGACAGUGCUGGCUUCCUGAGGAGACACAAGCACAUGCCAGGCUGAGGUGGCCACAGAGCAAGGCGGGGGCAGACCAGGUUUAGCCUCUCAAUUUUGCUUCUACUAAGCCAGGGCCUGGGGAGGGUGGGAUGGGGUGGGGAGGGGAGGGGAACCGCCCUUUGCCACCCAGAGCAGCCUAUAGGCAACAAAGACUUCUUCCCUCAACCCACAAGAAGGAGUAUUCAGGAGACUUGCUUUGAAAUCCUAACUCUGUUUCUAACAUGUUGUGUGCCUGUGGUCAAUUUACUUACUGUCUCUGGACUUCAAAUGAAGAUAAAAAUAUCCAAUUCACGAUUUUUGUUUUGUUUUUGUGUUUGUGGUUUUUGAGACAGGGUCUUGUUCUGUUGCCCAGGCUGGAGGGCAGUGGCGUGAUCAUAGCCCACUGCAACCUCUAACUCCUGGGCUCAAGGGAUCCUCCCACCUCAGCCUCCCGAGUAGCUGACACUAUAGGUGCGUGCCACUAUGCCUGGCUAGUUUUUUAAAAUUGCCUUUUUUAUAGAGGUGGGUUGUCACUCUGUUUCCUGGGCUGGUCUUGAACUCCUGGGCUCAAGUGAUCCUCCUGCCUCGGCCUCCCAAAGUGCUGGGAUGACAGGCAUGAGCCACUGCUUGCAGCCCUCACUUUUCCUACUCCUGAAAGAAUUCAGUGUUACAGAAUACAUAUAAAAGUAAGCACACACAGGCUGUCUGGUAGUAGGAGCCCCGUCAAAGUGUGCCAUUUCCGAAUCUUAGUGAGAUGAUUCCUGAGCAUCUGCAGCAUGCCCCGAGUUGGGGAAGAAGUUUGGGAGAAGUCUGAGUUACUCCAUCUGGCAUUCAAAUCAGCUGUGAACACCUCGGCCACCAAGGGAAUCAAGCGUACUGCUCCCUCCCCCUUCCACAUAGAGAGAGGGAAGGGAACCGUCAUGCCUUUAGCGUCCACCUGAUGAUAGCUGUGGGUUUGGAGGCCUGACUUUGUAAAGCUUUGUGAACAAGGACAUAGCUGACAUCUGCGCUUCCUUCCAUGUGAGGGCAUGUGCCGGCCAGGCCAUUGCAGAAGGCCUGGGUGUGGCCCUUCCUCCCUGAACACCCCACCUGCACCUGGGCCUCAAGGUCAUCCCUCUGGCAUUUCAGAGCCUGUGGGCGUCCUUUACCAUGUUAGCAGUGUACAUAUUUGACCAAGCAGGCAGGUAUUUGCCCUUGCAUUAACAUUCCAGAUGCAGCCUGUGGCUCUGAGAAGGCAACUCUCAUUGCACUCGGUGAAAUUAUCAAAGAACAGCUAGCUCUAGGCUAGGAAAUAACCACCUCCCUUCUUCUAAGGGGCCUAAAAAUCCCUAAAAAUAAUGCUAUUUUGGAAAUACCGCAUGUUCAUAGUAACAAAUUCAGACCAUAGAGAUUAACUAAAAAGAAAAUAAACAUCUCAAUUCUUCCUCUAUUCAGUCAUAUCUCUUUGUUACAUGUCAAUUUACUCAUUAAAUAUUUUUAAAUGAAAUGCAUUAAGCAUCCAAAGAGACGCUAUAUAAAACACAUAUACAUGGCUUAAGGACUAUUGAAAAGCAUACCAGUGGAACCACCUGUCAGAUUAGGAAACUGAACUUUUCCAGCCCCUGAUUUCUUUCAGCAAAUAUUUCUGUAUCCCUAAACAAUCUAUCGUGUUGUUCUACCUGUAUUUCACUUGUAGGUAUAUAAAAUCGUGUUUUAUGAUCUUUUCUCUGUAGCUAACCUUUUGUUAUUGUUUAACAUUAUAUUGUUGAUAGGUAUAGCUGUAGCUCAUUUUCACAGUUUUAAAGUACUUCAGGGCCAGGAGCAGUGGUUCAUGCCUGUAAUCCUAGCACUUCGGGAGGCCAAGGCAGGCCGAUCACUUGAGCUCAGGAGUUUGAGACCAGACUGGGCAACAUGGCAAAACCUGGGCAACAUGGUGAAACCUUGUCUUUACAAAAAAAAUACAAAAAUUAGCCGGGCCUGGUGGCAUGCACCUAUAGUCCCAGCUACUUGGGAGGCUGAAGCAGGAGGAUCGCUUGAACCUGGGAGGCUGAGGCUGCAGUGAGCUGAGAUUGUGCCACUGCACUCCAGCCUGGGGGACAAAGUGAGACCCUGUCUCAAAAAAAAAAAAAAGUCUACUCUGGGCACACUACCUGUAGGGGUAGGUAGUCCUGCUCCAUAAGAAGCAGUUAAAAAACAAACACACAAACAAACAAAAGAUUGGGCAUAAGUUGAUAACUAUUUACAUCUGUGUGAGGGGUUCAGGGAGCCUUACUAUGUAUAUGUUUAAAAUGUGCCAUAAUUUUUUAAAAAAAGGUAUUUCAUUGUAUGAAUAGACUUCAAUUUAUUUAUGCAUUUAUCUGUUGAAGGACAUCUGGAUUGUUUCGAGUUUUUUACCAUUACAAGAAAUGCUGCUUAGGACUUCACUGGACCUGUCCCCCGGUGUAUAGGUAUUUGAGUGCUAGUUGAAUUCUCUAUCCUUUUCCACUGGUCUAUUUGUCUAUUCUUGCAGCAUUACCACCAAGGACUUAAUUGCUAUAUCUUAUUUUUUCCUGUUUGGAAAAGACUUGGCUAUUCCUGAGCCUAUUCUCAACCAUACAGAUUUUAGAAUCAGCUUGUCCAUUUCUAUGAGAACACUGUUUGGAUUAAUGGGAAUUGUUCUGAACAUACAGAUUAAUUUGGCAAGGAGAAACAUCUUUAUAAUAUUGAGUCUUUUCCUCCAGGAUCUAUGAGUCAUUUGAAUUAAUGUUAGGGUAUAACAAGGGUAUUGCACAUAAGAUCAGUAUACAAAAUUCAGUUGCACAUAUGGAGUCCAAUUCUCUAUGUAUCAGAAAGAGGUAGCAAGAAAAUGCAAUUUAUAAAAGGAUACCACACUUACAACAACAACCAAAAUCACAAGGCACCCAGGUACUCAUCUAACAAAAGACAUACUAGAUUUUUAUGAAGAAAAGUAUAUAAUCAUUGAAAGAUUUAUUUAGCUCUUCUUCAAUGUCUAAUUUUCUGAUUGUUCUUAUAAGUGGUAGUUUUCAAAAGUUGACAAUGUACGUUGAUUUUAUGUCUGGCAAUGCUGCUCAACUUUCUCAUUCAUGACAACAAUUUGUAGAUACUUUUUGGUUUCUGUAUAGAGGAUGGUUAUUAGCUGUGAAUAGUAAUAGUUUUGUUUUCUCCCCCUUAUUUUUUUAAAUUUAUUUUUCUUGUCUUACUGGACUGAUCUCCGGUAAUAUGUUGAAUAGAAGUGUGAUGGCCAGCUCUGCUCCUUAUUUUAGAAGUGGUUUGUUAGUGUUUCCUCAGGUUAAGGAAGUUUCCUUCCAUUCAGAAUGUGCUCAGAGAUUUUGUUUUGUGUUUCAAAUCGUGAAUAAAUGCUUAAACUUACUCAGUGUUUUUUUUUCUGCUUCGAUUGAUAUAAUAUUCACAGAGUUUUUUCUUCUUUAAUUUGUUGAUGAGCUGAAUUACAUUAGUAACAUUUCUAAUAUUAAAGCAACCUUCUAUUUCUGUAUAAAUCUAACUUGGUCAUGAGGAAUUAUAUUUUUCUUUUAAAAUAUUGCAUGAUUAUGUUUUCUAAUGCUCUGAAAUUUUUGUAAGUAUGUUCAUGUUUCUGAUUAGCUUGUAAUUUCCUUUUUGAUACUUAUUUUUGAAUCUGCUCUCAUAAAAUAAAUAGGAGAGUUUCUCUCUUUUUCUCUCCUCUGAGAGAGUUUAUAUAGGACUGCACAGUGAUCUCUUUUCUUUGAGUGUCUGGUAGAACUCAUUUGCAAAACCAAAUACUAUUGGUGUUUUAUUCAUAUUAUGUAUUUAUUUUUAAAAUAUGGAAUUCUCAUGAAUUUGCAUGUCAUACUUGCACAGGAGCCAUGCUAAUCUUUUCUGUAUGGCUCCAGUUUUAGUGUAUGAGCUGCCAAAGUGAGCCUGCCAUUUUAUUUAUUUUUAAUGGUUAUAUGGCAAUUCAGGUUUUCUAUUUCUUCCCAAGUCAGUUUUGGCAAGUUCUGUUUACUUAUUCACUUCACCUUAGUUUUUUCUUGUUUUGGGCAUAAAAUUGAUCAUAAUGUUCUUAUUAUCUUUUUUGAUCUCUGCAACAUCUGUAUUAAUAUCUCCCCUUUAUUAUUCAUAGUCUUUACUUAUGUUUUUUAUUCUGUUAUCUUAACAAGUUUUGCCAGAACUCUUUAAAGUACUAAAGUUUGGUUUUGUUGCUCUUCUCAUUAUUAAAUCUUUGUCUUCUGUUUCAUUAAUUUCUUCCUUUGUCUCUACUGUUUCCUUUCUUUAAUUAUCUUUGAGUUUAUUUUGUUGUUCUUUUUAACUUCCUAAAUUGGCUGUUUAAAUCGUUAAAUUUCAAAUUUGCUUUUAAAAAUAUGAGCCAUUAUGGCUAUAUAUUUCCUUUUGAGUAGCGUUUUAGUGGCAUCCUAUAAGCUUUGAUGUGCAGUAUUUUCAUUGUCGUUUACUUUAAAAUGUUUUCUAAUAUCCAUAAUUACUUUUUCUUCAUCCCAUGAUCUAUUAAAAAAUGUUUACAACUAUGUAAGAGUUUUGUUAUGAUUUAAUUUUGUUGUAGUCAGAUAAUUGUUCUGUAUGAAGCAUAUUCAGUGCCUUGAAAUAUGCUGAUACAUACUUCUUAACCUAACACAUGGCCAGCUUUUUAAAUAUUCCAUGUGUGCCUGAAAGGAAUAGGUACUCUCUAGUUAUUAGUGACAGUGUCCUAAGCGCUUUGUGUUUCCCAAAUAUUAAUUACUAAUUUUUUACAUGCUUAGUCUUUAAAUUUUGAUAGAGGUAUAUUAUACAUUUUCUGCUGUAAUGAUUAUUUGUUAAUUUCUCUUUGUAGUUCUGUCAACUUUACAUAUUUUUGAAGCAGGGUUAUUUGGUACAUACAAAUUUAAAAUUUAUCUUUCUGGUGAACUGAACUGUUUAUCAAAAUAUGGUGAUCAUAUUUAUCUUUAAAGAUGGUAUAUUUGGUUGGGCACAGUGGCUCACGCCUGUAAUCCCAGCACUUUGGGAGGCCGAGGUGGGCGGAUCUGAGGUCAGGAGAUCCAGACCAUCCUGGCUAACAUGGUGAAACCCCAUCUCUACUAAAAAUACAAAAAAAAAAAAAAAAGAAAAAAUUAGCCAGGCGUGGUGGCGGGUGCCUGCAGUCCUAGCUACUCAGGAGGUUGAGGCAGGAGAAUGGCGUGAUCUUGGGAGGCGGAGCUUUCAGUGAGCCGAGAUCGCGUCACUGCACUCCAGCCUGGGCGGCAGAGUGAGACUCCGUCUCAAAAAAAAAAAAAAAAAAAAAAAAGAUGGUAUACUUUUUGCUUAUAGCUACUCAGAUUUCUUUCAGUUAGUAUUUGCUGAGUAUAUCUUUUUUUUCCUUCCUAUGCUUUCAAAAAUUAUGUUCUUUAUAUUUUAAGUCUCUUGUAAAAACAUUUGUUUGGAUUUAAAAAACCAAGCCUGACAAUCUUUGUAUUUUUUUAAUUGGCCAAUUUAUUCCAUUUAUAUUCACUGUAAUUACUGAUUUAUUUUCAUUCAUUUCUUCCAUCUGUUUUUGUGCUUUAAAUUUGUCCCAUUUUUUUCUAAAUUUUCCUCCUCUUUUCUUGUUUUAAGUUGAUUUCUUUUUCUCAUUCUCUUUCCUCCAUACCAUAUGGAAUCUCUACCUUCUGUAUUUUAAGUGAUUAUCCGAGGCAUUUUGACAUGCAUAUUUAGCUUUAAAAAGCCCAGUGGCAGGAGCCCCUCUCUCUCUUACUUGCCCCCCAUGCCGUGCAUAAGCUGGGAUGAGACACCAAGCUGGGAUUCCCAUGCUGUGUAGACUCUAGUACAGAUUACCCUUAAUGGCAAAAACCGCAAUUACUUUUGCACCAACCUACCACUUGCAGAGAUUCUAGUAGGUUUAAUCUUCUUCAACCCCCUUCACGGUCCCACGGCCCGUCUUUGCCCUGAGCCAGAACACUGGAAGCUAUUUUAGCGGAUGUUAACGGGGUUCUAGGUGUGUAUAACGCGAUAUCUGCCGAGCAGUAAGUGUUUGUGAGAAACACCUCGUUUUCACAUUUCCAUCCUCAGUUCCCCUUCUCAUGCUAACAGCACCUUGAUUCUUCUUCAGAAUUCGACCUUCCCCACUUUUUGUCCUUGUAGAUUAGGUGGAGUUGACCUAUUUCCCUUUGCCCUGGCUUCAGGGUUGGGCACGUGACAGUUGGUUGAGGGAUAGACACAUGACCCAAUCCAAUGAAACCAAAGCCUGGAGCUUUUUGUUAGAAUAGUAGGAAAGGGACAUACUUUUCCCUUGGGUCUGCAAAGAUGUUAAGAUAGAAGCUUGGACCUGCUGGUGGCUCUAUGGGAAGACUCCGGCUGAGGAUUACAGCGGCAAUCCGAGCGGGAAGCCGAGUUGAAAGUUGGAGAAAGACAAAUUCCUGAGGACAUUUGAGCCCUUGGGUCCGACCAUGCUUGAAGCUACUCUUAGUCUCUUCAGUUCUAUGAGUCAGUUACCUAUCUCCCAAACCCCAUCCUCUUUUAACUGGGUUUCUGCUCCUUGCAGUUAAGAGAGCUCAGACUAAUCAUAUUCCUAAAUAAAUGUCAUUUGAAUCUGACUCCCGUGUUUUUACAUGGACCGUGUUAUAAUAUGUUCAGCCACCAGGGGACAGGACCCAGUUUCAGAGCUGCUUGGGUAGCUUUGCUCAGCCCCGCUCUGAGCCUCGGUUUCCUCAUCUGUGAAAUGAGUUAAUAAUAACGACCUCACAGGGCUAAUGUGAGGACAAUGGAUGAUGAAUGCCAGUGCCCCUUCCCAUUUCCCUCCACUGCUUAUCCUACAAGUGAUCAGACAGAACCACCAUCUGUAUGUGUUAUCCUGCUAUUUCUUGCAUCUGUGCUUUUGCACAGAUUUUUGUUAUUCCCACUGCUUUAAAUUCCUGUAUUUUCUUCUUUGCUGGUCAAUUUAUCCUGUUUUUCUUUUCUUUUCUUUUUUUUGAGACAGAGUCUUGCUCUGUCGCCCAGGCUGGAGUGCAGUGGCACGAUCUCAGCUCACUGCAACCUUCGCCUCCCGGGUUCAAGCAAUUCUCUUCCCUCAGCCUCCUGAGUAGCUGGGAUUACAGGUGCAUGCCACCAUGCCUGGCUAAUUUUUUUUAUUAUUUUUAGUAGAGACGUGGUUUCACCAUGUUGGUCAGGCUGGUCUCGAACUGACCUUGUGAUCUGUCUGCCUCGGCCUCCCAAGGUGCUGGGAUUACAGGCUUGAGCCACUGUGCCAGGCCAAUUUCUCCUGUUUCAAUAUUCUGUUCAGUAUCAUCUCCUCUGGGCAGCUGUCUCUGAGGUCUCCCAGAAUUACUGGUUCCCUCCUGGCUCCUGCAGCCCCUUUGCCGAGGCACUUAUGUCCCUGGGUUAGGUGUCAGCUUACUUGUCUGUCUCCUGGACUAAACAGGAGUGUCAUAAAGGCAGGCAUUGGAUCUUUCAUCAUCUACCUUGUCCAAGUUUAUAGUAGGUGUUCAUGUGUGUUUUGGAUAGUGAUUCUCCUGUCUUCUAACUUCCCAAAUUCACAGAUGGUCAGAGGCAGUCCAGCUUCUCCCCGGCUGUCUCCGGUAGCCGGUACCCACUUUCUGGCUUUAUUUCACCAUCUACCUUCUCACCGCCAGCCUGUAAGAGCCUUGUGGGCAGGAACCCUUGAGGGAGACAGUGAGGGAGGUUUACCACUUCAACAAAUAUCUGAGCAGCAACUGCAUGCUAGGAGUGAAUAGGAGGAGGUGUGAGAUUCGGAACCAGGAGUUCCGCGUUCUGUCUGAGCCUUCCUCAUCCCCUGCUGCUGGGUCUCACACAACUCCGUCUCUCUCCAUUCUUCAGUCCCUCUCCACAUCUGUACAACAGGGACAGUCCUGAAGAAGAGGCUGUCAGAGCCAUGAGAUGAGAUGGGAGAAGUGGAAUGUUUUGAAAUUUCAGGGAAUCCUCCUUCUCUUUCUCCUCCUUUGUAAAUGCUUUGUCCCUGAGGGUCCCUAAAAGCUGACAGUAGAUCACGCCUCUAAUCCCAGCACUUUGGGAGGCUGAGGCGGGCGGAUCACGAGGUCAGGAGAUCAAGACCAUUCCGGCUAACACGGUGAAACCCUGUCUCUACUAAACAUACAAAAAAUUAGCCGGGCGUGGUGGUGGGCGC